AUGGUAACGAGAGUAGAGAAAAUGAUGAUGCAGUGCUCUGUGUAGCCAAUAAUAGAGGAACUCUACAGGACCAAUAUGAAGCAAGGCAGUUAUAAUGAUCCCAUCGGUCCUCCACAUAGGCAUGUGAUGAGCUUGUUCCAGAAUCAAAUCCCUUGUAUCUACAAAAAGUGAAAAAAGAAGGAACAUACCAGUUGCUUUCUCUGUCAACUUGAUCAAAUUCGAUGCUUUUAUCAAUAAUUCGAUUAUUACCCUUUGCAGUCCUGUAGCGGGAUAUGGAUAUCCAUAGCUGAUAAUGAAUCAUUCUGGAGAGAGUAAAUGGAAGUACAAGUAUGUAGAACAUGUCCCUCUGACUUUCAUCUCUGCUCAUGAAGAAUGUGUAUAUGCUGUGACACGCAAAUGGUGCCAACACCAGGUACUUCAUCAUCCCAACAUAUCAGUUUUAAAAUGUUAGCAGAAUUCAAGCUAUAAUAUCACAU